GGGAUCGGGAGUGGGAAGGCAAGAAAGGAAUCUAGGAAAUUUAGUGGGUAAGGAAGCUCCCAAAAGCCUAUAAAUAGAGGAGAUGGUUGCGAGAGCCUCCUUGAGUUAGCCAUUUGAGAGCAUUUGAGAGUUGUGUGCUAGAAUUUUAGAAGAGGGAAAGAGGAGAGCUUAGCUUAUGGUUUAGGUGAGAGCUGCGUAUCUAAAUCACUUUGUAAUCCGCCGAAAAUAGGGUGUUCCUCUACAACAUUUAAGCAGCAUCAACAUCUAUUACAAUUUUUUGGCGCUGGGAAGUGACGGGAGCCGUUCAUAUGCUGAAAUAAUGUUCGCUGAACAUUACACGGAAGCUGGUGGAUGUUUCAAUCUGUGGACCUGCUUGCAGCCCUUGAUGGAAUAGUCAAG